UUUUAUUGCUAUAUCCUUAUAUUGUAUUCUAAUUAAUAAUUCCUCUUUAUUCUGUACUUUCAGAAACCAAAAACAGUAUUUGCCAAUAUCAUAACUGGACAUCUUUCGAGCUGAAGAUUGAGGACAGCUUUUGUAUGCUAACGUUCUCUCCUUAACAGUUUUACUGGAUGGAAACACAGCAAGAAAACACAUAGGCCAAUAUUGACUGAACAACAACUGCAUUUCCACCCCCACCUCUAAAGGCAUAGUAUCAUGGCAGGUCACCUGUCAAGUCACCUGUCAGGUCAGUCAGUCACUUAUUGCUGCAGAUGUGCUCAAUAAUGCUUGAGCAUGUGAUACUCCUCAAAGCAUGGUGAAAUACAUAGAGGUGUAUCACAAGCUAAACACAUGUAUUUUGUCAUCUUCCUCUGCUUACUUCUCCUGGCGCCAGACAGGCAGACUUUGCAGUGCCUCCGUGUGCGACUACCUUGAGCAGCAGUUUGAGGGACUUUGCAGGGAAAAUGCCGUGCAGUGAGGCGUAGGGGAUUGUCUAAAGCAGGGCGACCCCCAGUGGAGGGGCGCCGAGGGGUGUGGUGCUCCUCCAACAGCUCUCUCAUGAGGUUCUCUCUGUAUUUUUGGUGGUCCACCUUCCCUGUGGCCGACAUGGUUGCUGUAUGGACAGUGGAGAGGACAUGGACGUCUCUUUUGUCAUGCCACUAUACUGCCAGCUGUUGACCGUUCUCCUGGAACUCCACCUCCCCUCUCUGCAUCUUCCUGCAUCCGAAUGCCGGCAUCCCCGUCCUGUUCGACCUGACUGUGCCACAGGCCCCUGUGCUGUUGGAGAGCAGAUGCUGGAAGAGUGUGGGUCUGCUGUACCAAUUGUCCACGUACAAAGUGUGUCCCUUGCCGAGAUGAGGAGCCAGCAUGGUCAUCACCACGGACCCAGACACCCCAAGCCCCUCAUAAUGUUUGAUGUCAGUGGUAGACCCUGUGUACACUAUAAUAUCCAGGACAUAUCCUGUCUUCACGUCGCACAUGACAAAGAACUUGACCCCAAACCUGUGCCUUUUGGAGGGAAUAUAUUGACGGAACGCCAGCCUACCUUUCCAUAACAUCAGGGACUCAUCAAUGCAUAGGUCCUUGUAUGGCACAAAGACCCGACCAAAUGCUGAUGUCAGGCUGAUAAGAACAA